GACGAACGCUGGCGGCGUGCCUAAUACAUGCAAGUCGAACGCAGUGGGGACGGGUGAGUAACACGUGGGUAACCUCCCAUCAGAGGGGAUCACACUUGGAAACAGGUGCUAAACCGCUACUGAUGGCUGGACCCGCGGUGCAUUAGCUAGUUGGUGAGGUAACGGCUCACCAAGGCCACGAUGCAUACCAGACCUGGGAGGGUGAACGGCCACACUGGGACUGGGACACGGCCCAGACUCCUACGUGAGGCAGCAGUAGGGAAGCUUCGGCAAUGGACGAAAGUCUGACCGAGCAACGCCGCGUUAGUGAAGAAGGUUUUCGGAACGUAAAAAUCUGUUGUUAGAGAAGCGGUAUCUGACCAGAAAGCCACGGCUAACUACGUGCCAGCCGCCGCGGUAAUAC
rnacentral:rRNA from 1 species